UAGGGAAUCUUCCGCAAUGGACGCAAGUCUGACGGGGCAACGCCGCGUGAGUGAAGAAGGAUUUCGGUUCGUAAAACUCUGUUGUUAGAGAAGAACAGCGCAUAGAGUAACUGUUAUGCGUGUGACGGUAUCUAACCAGAAAGCCACGGCUAACUACGUGCCAGCAGCCGCGGUAAUACGUAGGUGGCAAGCGUUGUCCGGAUUUAUUGGGCGUAAAGCGAGCGCAGGCGGUCAAUUAAGUCUGAUGUGAAAGCCCCCGGCUCAACCGGGGAGGGUCAUUGGAAACUGGUUGACUUGAGUGCAGAAGAGGAGAGUGGAAUUCCAUGUGUAGCGGUGAAAUGCGUAGAUAUAUGGAGGAACACCGGUGGCGAAAGCGGCUCUCUGGUCUGUAACUGACGCUGAGGCUCGAAAGCGUGGGGAGCGAACAGG
rnacentral:rRNA from 1 species